UACGGAGGAUGCGAGCGUUAUCCGGAUUUAUUGGGUUUAAAGGGUGCGUAGGCGGUUUUUUAAGUUAGUGGUUAAACGUCGGGGCUUCACCUUGAUUUGCCAUUAAUACUGUAGAGCUAGAGAACAGACGAGGUAGGCGGAAUAAGUUAAGUAGCGGUGAAAUGCAUAGAUAUAACUUAGAACACCGAUAGCGAAGGCAGCUUACCAGACUGAGUCUGACGCUGAUGCACGAGAGCAUGGGUAGCGAACAGG
rnacentral:rRNA from 1 species